GAUGAACGCUGGCGGCGUGCUUAACACAUGCAAGUCGAACGGUGAAGCCCAGCUUGCUGGGUGGAUCAGUGGCGAAUGGGUGAGUAACACGUGAGCAACCUGCCCCGGACUCUGGGAUAAGCGCUGGAAACGGCGUCUAAUACUGGAUACGAGCUGCGAAGGCAUCUUCAGCAGCUGGAAAGAUUUUUUGGUCUGGGAUGGGCUCGCGGCCUAUCAGCUAGUUGGCGAGGUAACGGCGCACCAAGGCGUCGACGGGUAGCCGGCCUGAGAGGGUGACCGGCCACACUGGGACUGAGACACGGCCCAGACUCCUACGGGAGGCAGCAGUGGGGAAUAUUGCACAAUGGGCGCAAGCCUGAUGCAGCAACGCCGCGUGAGGGAUGACGGCCUUCGGGUUGUAAACCUCUUUUAGCAAGGAAGAAGCGAAAGUGACGGUACUUUCAGAAAAAGCGCCGGCUAACUACGUGCCAGCCGCCGCGGUAAAAC
rnacentral:rRNA from 1 species